AGAGUUUGAUCCUGGCUCAGGAUGAACGCUGGCGGCGUGCUUAACACAUGCAAGUCGAACGAAGCAUUACUUUUGAAAGCAAUCAGCUUGCUGAGAGUGGACAUGUGUAAUGACUGAGUGGCGGACGGGUGAGUAACGCGUGAGUAACCUGCCUUAUACAGGGGGAUAACAGUUGGAAACGACUGCUAAUACCGCAUAAG
rnacentral:rRNA from 1 species